rnacentral:rRNA from 1 species
UACGGAGGGGGCUAGCGUUGUUCGGAAUUACUGGGCGUAAAGCGCGCGUAGGCGGCUUUGUAAGUUAGAGGUGAAAGCCUGGAGCUCAACUCCGGAACUGCCUUUAAGACUGCAUCGCUAGAACGAUGGAGAGGUAAGUGGAAUUCCGAGUGUAGAGGUGAGAUUCGUAGAUAUCGGGAGGAACACCAGUGGCGAAGGCGACUUCCUGGCCUGUUCUUGACGCUGAGGCGCGAAAGCUAGGGGAGCAAACGGG